rnacentral:rRNA from 1 species
CUGGGCGUAAAGCGUGCGUAGGUGGUCGUUUAAGUCCGUUGUGAAAGCCCUGGGCUCAACCUGGGAAACUGCAGUGGAUACUGGACGACUAGAGUGUGGUAGAGGGUAGCGGAAUUCCUGGUGUAGCAGUGAAAUGCGUAGAGAUCAGGAGGAACAUCCAUGGCGAAGGCAGCUACCUGGACCAACACUGACACUGAGGCACGAAAGCGUGGGGAGCAAACAGGAUUAGAUACCCUGGUAGUCCACGCCCUAAACGAUGCGAACUGGAUGUUGGGUGCAAUUUGGCACGCAGUAUCGAAGCUAACGCGUUAAGUUCGCCGCCUGGGGAGUACGGUCGCAAGACUGAAACUCAAAGGA